GAAUGACUGUUUGGUCAGACAGUGUUCAGGGUGGAGAAGUGCGUAGUGUGAAGGGGUACAGAUGGAGUCAAGCACCAAGGUGGAACCCUAAGUGUGUUGCCUUUCAGAGCGCUAAGGGUGCAGUAAUGGCAAGCAUAUCCCAGAGCAAUGUUAUUUCCGGUCAGAACGAGAAAUUAGUAGGUACUGUAUCACAGUCUUGUUGGAACAGAAGGAGAGGUUGGAAUGUAAUCUUGUGGACGAUAGACUAUCAGAAGGCAGAAACAGAGUAAACAUUGACAAAUCAAAUCGAAUCAGUGAGUAUGAUCCUAUCAACUGCUAGAUUCACUGGGGGUUGCUGCAGGCACUAUGGAGAUUUUUUCCUGGUGAGGCAUGUGUCCCCACCCAGCUCCCAUAAGACGUGACAUCUGGAAAGGGGAACAAUUAAAAAAAAACCUUGUGAUUCAGACAUGCUGUCAUCUAGACAUCUUUAGAAGAACCAGUAGCUCAACAACCUGGUAUGUAUGUAUAUAUGUGUGUGUGUGUGUGGUGGGGGCCCUCUUCCUCGGGCCCUCAGAGGCUGAGGAGCGGCUCCUUCUCCUGCACCAGGAGGAGCCCCAGCUUCUCCCCCCGGCGGGGGCCCCAGGAGACCCGGAGGAGCUCCAGGAGAACCAGGACCAGCCAGGACAACCAGGAGCACCACAGACCCACCUGGGAGGGGACACGCACGUCAGGGACCCCGUAGUCUCACCGAUCAGCCAGCCCGAAACCUCCUGACCGCCACAAACCACUGCUCCAAACACCCCCAACCUCAACCUCCAGACACCCCACAGCCCAAAACCUCCAGGCACCUCCCAGCCCAAAACCUCAAGGCACCUCCCAGCCCAAAACCUCAAGGCACCUCACAGCCCAAAACCUCAAGGCACCUCCCAGCCCAAAACCUCCAGGCACCCCCCAGCCCAAAACCUCAAGACACCCCCCAGCCCAAAACCUCAAGACACCUCCCAGCCCAAAACCUCCAGACCCAACAGACCCAACAUUUAACAGAAAACAUAUACAAAAUGUUUGAGAAAGUACAGCCUAAUAAAGCGAAAUUUUUUUGACAUGCUACGUACGAUGCCGUUUUA